rnacentral:rRNA from 1 species
AUGAACGCUAGGCGGCAGGCUUAAUACAUGCAAGUUGAGGGGCAGCAUGAUAUACGCGAGUAUAUUGAUGGCGACCGGCGGACGGGUGAGUAAUAGGUAGGAGACCUACCUCAUACAGGGGGAUAGCAUAGAGAAAUCUGUGGUAAUACCCCAUGAGGUUAUAUGAAUAGAGGCAUAUAAUCAAAGCAUAAGCGAUUAUGCGGUAUGAGAGGGGCCUACUGACCAUUAGCUAGUUGGUGAGGUAAGGGCUCACCAAGGCGAAGAUGGUUAGGGGUUUUGAGAGAGAGACCCCCCACAUUGGAACUGAGAGACGGUCCAGACUCCUACGGGAGGCAGCAGUAGGGAAUAUUGGGCAAUGGGCGAAAGCCUGACCCAGCCAUGCCGCGUGAAGGAAGACGGCCUUAUGGGUUGUAAACUUCUUUACUACGCGAAUAGAGGUUAGUACGAGAUACUAAUAGGAAGGUAGUGUAGUAAAAAAGCACCGGCUAACUCCGUG